CUGGUAUCGCUGUAACCUGGCAGGGCAGAGCCUGCUGUGCCGGAAGAUCUGUGAAUAUAUAUGGUGUGCUCCAGGGGUGUACCUUGGCUGAGGAUCUAGGAAGCCGAGUGAGAAAACAAUGAGAUUGGACCUCUCUCCCUGCCAACUCCCAGCGAUGCUGGUGGAAAGAAAGCCGUUUCCUCCAGGUCCCAAAGAAACCCCAAGGUGUGCAACCUGCUGGACCUCUCACGAUGGCUGGAGAUUGUCAUUAAGACGGCUUAGUUAUAGUUCCACUGACUACGUGAAGCGGGUGUAGCAUCCUAUUGAAAGGGACAUCUCACCACGAGAGGCACACAGAGACCCUGAUGAUUCCUAAGAAGGAUGCUACAUGCUUAGAUUAGGAUGUCUACUACAGAUCUCUGAUGCUGGCUGAACCCUCAGGGUUGUGCUGCUCCCAGCCUUGCCCAGAGAGGCUUCUACUGCGGUGAGCAGCAGUUAGCGCAGACUCCUGACCAUCAAACUGCUGAGAAUCAGUGAUUAUCGAGUGCUCAGCUCUAAGUAGGAUCUCUACACUAUCACCUCCAAAGCUCAGGGAGCAUCGUAAAGAAAAAAAAUGCCACCUUUUACACGUAGAUCUGCUUGUGCCAUCGGAGUGGUACUGUGGUACCAUGUGACCUUGCUUGCUGUGCUGGGCACCUAGCAAGUGAGUGACUAGGGACUGUGAUGCAUACAUACUGUGCUGUAAGGGCCUUGAGAAGCCCACAGCAAAGACAUCUAAAGUAGACACAAAAGCCAGACAACUGUAAAGACAGCCUUUCCUGCCUACCUGGCCACAGAACUCUUGUUUUUGUUUUAUUUUGUUUUGUUUAACACGGAUUUGUUUAUUUGUUUUUUUUUUAAAGGAGACUGCACUUUCGUUUCCUGCCUGCCCAGAUCCGAAUAAUCACACAAAACUAUAUUAAUUUACAACACUGUUUGGUCAACGGCUCAGACAUAUUUCUAGCUAACUCUUCUAUCUUAAAUUAAUCCAUUCCUAUUAAUCUGUGUAUCGCCACGAGGCUGUGGUUUACCAGUAAGAUUCUGGUGUUUUUCUCCUUGGGCAGUCACAUUGUGUCUGCCUGACCCUGUCUUCUUUCUCCCUGUGUUCAGUUUAGUUUCCCUGCCUAGCUCUAUUCUGCCUUUUCAUAGGUCAAAGCAGCUUCUUUAUUAACCAAUGGUAAUAAAACAUUCACAGCACACAGAGGGGCUUCUCACAUCACGUUUAUUUGCGUGUAGCCCAAGAUGGCCUCAAACUCACUCUGUAGCUGCUGCUGGCCUUGGACCCCUGAUCCUCCUGUCAUUGUCUUACCUGUGAUUACAGGUAUACACUGCCACGCAUGGUUUGAACCCAGCCACUACCCCUCCUCUGCCUUUCAUUUACUUAUUUAUUGAUCUAUCUAUCUAUUGAUCCAGCUAUCU